UGAGAAUGAAGCAAUUUUGCAUUCAGUUUCGACCUGAACUUAUGGUAAUCCCAUUCUUAU
rnacentral:tRNA from 1 species